GACGAACGCUGGCGGCGUGCUUAACACAUGCCAGUCGAACGGAAAGGCUCCAGCUUGCUGGCGUACUCGAGUGGCGAACGGGUAAGUAACACGUGGGUGAUCUGCCCUGCACUUCGGGAUAAGCCUGGGAAACUGGGACUAAUGACGGGUAGGACUGCAGUUUGGUGGGUGUGGGGGAAAGGUUGUGCUGGUGUGGGAUGAGCUCGCGGCAUAUCAGUUUGUUGGUGGGGUAAUGGCCUACCAAGACGGCGACGGGUAGCCGGCCUGAGAGGGUGGACGGUCACAUUGGGACUGAGAUACGGCCCAGACUCCUACGGGAGGCAGCAGUGGGGAAUAUUGCACAAUGGGGGGAACCCUGAUGCAGCGACGCCGCGUGGGGGAUGAAGGCCUUCGGGUUGUAAACUCCUUUCGCUAGGGACGAAGCUUUUUGUGACGGUACCUGGAGAAGAAGCACCGGCUAACUACGUG
rnacentral:rRNA from 1 species